rnacentral:rRNA from 1 species
GUCUACGGCCAUGCCACCCUGAAUGUGCCCGAUCUCAUCUGAUCUCAGAAGCUAAGCAGGGUUGGGCCUGGUUAGUACUUGAAUGGGAGACCACCUAGGUAGAACAGGUGCUGUAGGCG